CUGCUCAAGGCCGGCGGCGGCGCGGGCGGCAGUGGCGGGAGCGGCCCCUCGGCCAUCCUCCGUCUGCCCAGUUACCGCUUCCGCUACCGCCGCCGCUCCCGCUCCAGCUCCCGAGGCUCC
rnacentral:precursor_RNA from 7 species